UGUGAAGCCACUCCACCCUGAAUGCACCUGUUCUCAGAAGCUAAGCCGAGUUGGUCAUGGUUAGUGCUUGGAUGGGACAGAGGCUUAGCACUGGGAAUUAUCCUGGAGACUAUCAUAU
rnacentral:rRNA from 1 species